rnacentral:misc_RNA from 1 species
CUACCCAAUUAUUAGUGUGCAACGACUUAAACAUUGGAAAUAAAUCAAGUAUUCCAUCUUCCACAAGUAACAUGCGCACAAUUUUACACUUCAUGGGAAUACAAUCAUACAAGCCUCUUGUUUAUAUUAAAAUUAUGCUCUCUUGCGUAAUAUGUGUGCAUAUGCUGGCAUCAUAAACAUGUUUUUACAAAGAUUGAACUAAGGAUGUACUGAACUUCAUUUCAAGCUUUCACCAACUGAGACUGAGCUUGCCCUCUACAUUGUUGUGCACAAAAUUCCCAUGUAUAAAAAUAUCAACUUUAAAGCCCGAGUCUACGCAUAAACCCAGUCAACUAGUUGAAUUUUAUAACCCGGCUCUAAUCUCACAAAAUUAGUAGGUUCCAAUUUCAUGCAGGUUGGUAACCAUUUGACAAAAGGCAUAACCUGAAUAUUCAGGUCAGGUU